rnacentral:rRNA from 1 species
GGAGUCUAACAUGUAUGCGAGUAAACUGGGUUAAAAAACCUAACAUACAAAAAUGAAAGUAACUGGUAGGAAUCCUUUAUUGGAAGCACUAUCAACCGACAUGGAUAUGGGUUAAACCAUUGAAAUGAUUGAGUUAGAGUAUAUAUGUUAGGACCCGAAAGAUGGUGAACUAUGCCUGAGUAGGGCAAAGCCAGAGGAAACUCUGGUGGAGGCUCGUAGGGGUUCUGACGUGCAAAUCGAUCUUCAAACUUGGGUAUAGGGGCGAAAGACUAAUCGAACCAUCAAGUAGCUGGUUCCCUCCGAAGUUUCCCUCAGGAUAGCAGAGACUAGCUGUUUAACAGUUUUAUCAGGUAAAGCGAAUGAUUAGAGGCUUUGGGGAAGAAACUUCCUCGACCUAUUCUCAAACUUUAAAUAGGUAAGAUAUGAUGGUUACUUAAUUUGAACUAUCAUACGAAUGUAUAGUCUUUAGUGGGUCCAUUUUUGGUAAGUCAGAACUGGCGAUGUGGGAUGAACCG